ACAUUCGUGUCGAAUCUGUCUUUGCGGAAGUUAAAAAUACGUCAACAACGUCACUCAUUGAAAAGCUACCAUGGCAGCCACCAAAGACUCCAAAGAACAAAAAUACGACAGGCAGCUCAGACUGUGGGGGGACCAUGGACAAGAAGCUCUGGAAAAUGCACAUGUAUGUCUCAUCAACGCCACAGCAACUGGAACAGAGAUCCUGAAGAACCUGGUCCUGCCAGGGAUCGGAGCGUUUACUAUUGUUGAUGGACACAUAGUGUCUGGGGAAGAUGCAGGAAACAACUUUUUCCUUAGCAGUGAUAGCAUUGGAAAGAAUAGAGCCCAGGCUGCCACUGAACUACUGCAAGAGCUAAACAGUGACGUGUCUGGAAACUUUGUAGAGGAGAGUCCAGACAAACUUCUGGACAAUGAUCCAGAAUUUUUCCACAGAUUCACAAUAGUCAUUGGUGUCCAGUUGCCAGAAAGCACCUGUUUGAGACUCGGCAUGGUACUAUGGAGUGCAUCUGUACCGUUUCUAAUCUGCAAAGCAUAUGGCCUCAUAGGCUACAUGAGACUGAUGGUGCAGGAGCACACAGUGAUUGAAUCUCACCCGGACAAUGCCUUGGAGGAUCUAAGAUUAGAUCGGCCUUUUGAUGAAUUUAAGAGCCACAUAAAGUCCUACAACCUUUCCAUCAUGGACAAAAAGGACCACAGUCACACACCAUGGGUUAUCAUUGUUGCUAAAUACCUAGAGAGAUGGCUCAGUGAGCACGAUGGCCAGCCACCCAAAAAUUACAAGGAAAAGGAGGCCUUCAGGCAGAUAAUUCGGGAAGGAAUCCUGAAGAAUGAGAAUGGAGGCCUAGAGGAUGAGGAAAACUUUGAGGAAGCCAUCAAGAAUGUCAACACUGCUUUAAAUCCAACCAAGGUUCCCACUUCGGUCGAAGACCUCUUCAAUAGCGAACAGUGUAACAAUAUCACAGCGCAGUCUUCAUCUUUCUGGGUGAUGCUGCGAGCUGUGAAGGAGUUUGUGUACAACGAAGGCAGCGGAAGCCUUCCCGUUCGUGGAUCCAUUCCAGACAUGAUCGCAGAUUCUCAAAAGUUCAUCAACCUUCAGAACGUUUACAGAGAAAAGGCCAUGCAGGAUGCAGCAGCUGUUUCUAAACACGUAGAAUCUCUACUUCAGUCCGUUGGAAAGCCACCAGAAAGCAUCUCUGAGAAGGACAUUAAGCUGUUCUGUAAGAACUCAUCCUUCCUGCGGGUUGUGCGCUGCAGGUCUUUGGCUGAAGAAUAUAGUGUGGAUUCAAUAAACAAAGAUGAAAUAACCUCUCGCAUGGACAGUCCCGACAGCGAGAUGGUCUUCUACCUCAUGCUCCGGGCUGUAGAUCGCUUCUAUCAGCUGCACUCUCGCUAUCCAGGUUUUAGAAAAAGUCUCAGAAUUUCUGGUGCUUUUUGAACAUUUAGCUCAGAUUUUCCCCACAUGAAGAAGCUCUUCGAUGGUUGGACUGCUAAACUGUCGCAUGGAUAGGAACGCUCCAGUUUUGAACUCAUCUAAUCUGCCACCGUUUUCUGAUAACAGGAGUGUACAACUACCAGGUGGAGGAGGAUAUCAGCAAGCUAAAGCUGUGUGUGAACAGUCUACUGCAGGAAUACAGCCUCAAUGUUAACAUCAAAGAUGACUACAUCCAUGAGUUCUGUCGGUACGGAGCAGCAGAACCACACACCGUUUCUGCAUUUUUAGGAGGCUCAGCUGCUCAAGAGGCCAUUAAGAUCAUCAGCCACCAGUUUGUGCCCUUCAACAACACCUUCAUUUAUAACGCCAUGUCACAGACCUCGGCUACGUUUCAGCUGUGAUUCCAGUCCCAAAGUCUAGAAAAGGAACAGUGAAUGAGGAUUCAUUAAACAAACCUGGAAGGAAAACUUGCUAAAGAAAUAAAAAAUAAUAAUAAUAACCUUGUUUAGUAUUUUCACCUUUAAUGAAAUAGUCCAACUUUGUACCUGUCUGCUCCAGCUGUCUGUUAUUGUGCUGCAUUUCAGCUAUUCAUGUAAACAAAUGAUCUGUUUACCUGUUGUUGUAAAGGACUUACAAUUUACAAGUGUGUUCGUUUGGGGGUGCUGACUUCAGCUCACGCCUCAGAUAGGGCCACUCUUUAGGCCAAGAUGGAUUUACAGGGUUGUGGAAUUAUUAAAUGUGUGUGUGUGUGUGUGUGUGUUUUUAAUAAACAUGAGCUUUUCGUUCAGAUAAGUUCAUUUAGAAGCAACACGAUUUUAAUGCACACUAGAGGUCGCUCUUCUACCGUUUAGUCAUAUUACUGUAGAUUUUUUAGCUUAUUUUCCAGUUCCAAUCAGACAGAAACCGGUUUGGACUGCUGCUUUUGAUGCAGGCAAGCUAAAGAGAGUAUUAGUAACCUUCAAUGUUAUUUCUGUGCAGCAGAUGGGAAGUUUUAACUCUGGGAAAUUAAAUUUCAUUGCUAUUCAAGUUAUUCUCUCUGAGAUUGAACCAAAUGUGAAUGUGGCCCCAGAUCCCCUAGUCUGCCUCAGGUUUUCUAAAACACUUCUAGCCUUGCCCCAUCUGCCUGAGAGGGAUCAAGCUGGGUGCCAACGUGCGCUUUGGCAGGUUCUUAAAUCAAGAUUUUUGUCUAAAGAUUAUCAUGUCUCCGGGAUUAUCAUGUAGCUCUGCCAACUCAAACAGGAACUUCUUGUAAAGCUGGUGACUAACUUUAUAUAAUCAAACAUUUCAUCCAAAAUGUCUCAUAAUCUAAGUUUUUUUUUAAAGGUUUAAUGUUAAAUCUCCAGACAGGAUGUAGGUAUAAUUUAUGCUGUUUGUCUUUGUGUUGUUCCAACAAAUAAAAAUCCUGAAACAUUA